rnacentral:rRNA from 1 species
CCCUUAGAUGUUCUGGGCUGCACGCGCGCUACACUGAAGCGUUCAACGAGUAUUCACCUUGCCCGGGAGGGUUGGGUAAUCUUUUGAAAACGCUUCGUGAUGGGGAUAGAUUAUUGCAAUUAUUAAUCUUCAACGAGGAAUUCCUAGUAAGUCCCAGUCAACAGCUGGUACUGAUUACGUCCCUGCCCUUUGUACACACCGCCCGUCGCUACUACUGAUUGGACGUUUAAGCAAGAUUUUUAAACACUGACAGUGUGUAGUUCACGCUAUACUACAGUGAGAAGAAGAAGAUCGAGCUUACUUGUCUAGAGGAAGUAAAAGUCGUAACA